GACGAACGCUGGCGGCGUGCUUAACACAUGCAAGUCGAACGGAAAGGCCCUGCUUUUGUGGGGUGCUCGAGUGGCGAACGGGUGAGUAACACGUGAGUAACCUGCCCUUGACUUUGGGAUAACUUCAGGAAACUGGGGCUAAUACCGGAUAGGAGCUCCUGCUGCAUGGUGGGGGUUGGAAAGUUUCGGCGGUUGGGGAUGGACUCGCGGCUUAUCAGCUUGUUGGUGGGGUAGUGGCUUACCAAGGCUUUGACGGGUAGCCGGCCUGAGAGGGUGACCGGCGACAAUGGGACUGAGAUACGGCCCAGACUCCUACGGGAGGCAGCAGUGGGGAAUAUUGCACAAUGGGCGGAAGCCUGAUGAAGCAACGCCGCGUGCGGGAUGAAGGCCUUCGGGUUGUAAACCGCAUUAGCCUGUGACGAAGCGUGAGUGACGGUAAUGGGUAAAGAAGCACCGGCUAACUACGUG
rnacentral:rRNA from 1 species